UGAUCCUGGCUCAGAUUGAACGCUGGCGGCAGGCUACACAUGCAGUCGACGGUACAGAUAGCUGCUAUCGCUGACGAGUGCGACGGGUGAGUAAUACUUAGGGAUCUGCCUCUGUGUGGGGGAUAACUAUUGGAAACGAUAGCUAAUACCGCAUAAUGUCUACGGACCAAAGCGGGCUUCGGCUCGUGCGCAGAGAGGAACCUAAGCGAGAUUAGCUAGUUGGUGAGGUAAAGGCUCACCAAGGCGACGAUCUCUAGCUGUUCUGAGAGGAAGAUCAGCCACACUGGAACUGAGACACGGUCCAGACUCCUACGGGAGGCAGCAGUGGGGAAUAUUGCACAAUGGGGGAAACCCUGAUGCAGCCAUGCCGCGUGUGUGAAGAAGGCCUUCGGGUUGUAAAGCACUUUCAGUUGUGAGGAAAGUUUAGUAGUUAAUACCUGCUAGAUGUGACGUUAGCAACAGAAGAAGCACCGGCUAACUCCGUGCCAGCAGCCGCGGUAAUACGGAGGGUGCGAGCGUUAAUCGGAAUUACUGGGCGUAAAGCGCACGCAGGCGGUCUGUUAAGCUAGAUGUGAAAGCCCCGCGCUCAACGUGGGAGGGUCAUUUAGAACUGGCAGACUAGAGUUUUGGAGAGGGGAGUGGAAUUCCAGGUGUAGCGGUGAAAUGCGUAGAGAUCUGGAGGAACAUCAAUGGCGAAGGCAACUCCCUGGCCAAAGACUGACGCUCAUGUGCGAAAGUGUGGGUAGCGAACAGGAUUAGAUACCCUGGUAGU
rnacentral:rRNA from 1 species